GGGGAUGGUUGUCGUUCGGUGGCGGCCCCGGUCUUCAAAACCGGUGGUGGGCGCCUGAGAAGCGUCCACGGUGGGUUCGACUCCCAUCCAUCCCCGCC
rnacentral:tRNA from 1 species